rnacentral:rRNA from 1 species
GUCCUCUUGAUAAUAUUUUGAGGUCUGGUCUGCUCACUGAAGAAUUUUAAAUAGCCGCGGUAUUUUGACCGUGCAAAGGUAGCAUAAUCAUUAGUCUUUUAAUUAAAGGCUGGAAUGAAUGGCUUGACGAGAAAUUAACUGUCUCUUAAUAAUUUUUAAAAUUUAACUUUUGAGUCAAAAGGCUUAAAUUUUUUUUAAGGACGAGAAGACCCUAUAGAGCUUAACAUUAAUAUUAUAUUUGGUUUUUAGUUAAUCUUUCUAAAUUUAAUGAUAAUGUUUUGUUGGGGUGACAUGAAAAAUAAUUAAACUUUUCAUUAUAAAAUCAUUGAUUAAUGUUUUAUUGAUCCAUAAUUUAUGAUCAUAAGAUUAAGUUACCUUAGGGAUAACAGCGUAAUUGUUUUUGAGAGCUCAUAUCAACAAAACAGAUUGCGACCUCGAUGUUGGAUUAAGAUAAAUCUUGGGUGCAGUAGCCCAAUUAUUAGGUCUGUUCGACCUUUAAAUUCUU